ACUCCGGGGGCGUCUCUUGCUGUGGCUACGUCUCCCCGGUGGCUGCGUGUGUCACGGGCCACCGAGCGCCCCUCCUGCCUAUCGCUGCCGUGAGGGUGGUGGGAUGGGAGAGCAGAGGCCGUGGGCGUCCCUCAGCACCUGCUGCGGGUGCCCCAGGCUGGAGGCAUGGGUGAGCCGAGCUCUGGUCCUUGCCUGGUGCCGUAAAACAACCCCGAGCUACGCGGGCCUGUGCUGAUCUAUAAUUCAGCAUGAGCUUCAUGUUUGUUUUCCGAGUGGACUGAUCAAGUGGGUCGGUCGCCGUGAGUCUCCAGAUUGCACCCAAGAACUGCCCAGUACGAGGACAUACAACAGGGAAAGCUCAGAAGUUGUUUGUUCUCUUCAGAGGAAUGAGACAGAUGCUGAAAAACUGCAAGGUGGCCACAUCAACAAACCCACAACAGGAUGAAUGCACCGGUUAUAAAAGACUCGCCUUCCCAUACGCAUAUGGAAGCCAAGGACCAUGCUCUGCAGUGUCUCACGCUCUGAUGCCCUUCCAGGCUUGCAACAACCACCUCCCCCAAGUUCUUCUAAAGAGCAGUUCUGCCUUUUUGUGGGAUGAUUAUGGAUUAUUCCCCAAUCCACAGGAUACUACAUCUGGCAUUAAGGGGACGAACACUCUUACAAAGACUUUAUCCCCAUGGCGAGUUUGCCCCAGUACAAGAGGGCUUUUAUUACCACAAUGUAGUAGCAUGGAUACAACACAGAUGUGUCUGGGUCUCACACCUAGUGAGAUGUGAGUGGCACAAAUCCCUCAGUAUUACUGGCAGUCCUAGAAAAAGCAAAUUCUGACCAUGUGAGAAAUUCAAAAUCCCUUCCUACCCUCCUUCUAGAAGAGGACUCCGGUACGAGGUGAGGCAAUGGCACGUCCUGCUUUUGCUCCACAUCUUCUGCUGACAGAGUCCUGCUGGCGCUGUAGCUGUCACUUUACCAUUUCCACAGUUAAGGUCCUUUCUAAAAUGCUAUGCAAAUGAAAGGAUAAGAAUCACAGUCAGACACAGAAAAUUUCAAAGUACUUCAUUAAAUUCAGCUAAAGAAGGUUGUGUUUCUUUACCAAGUCAUCCUAUUAUCUCACUUAAAACCCAAGCAUUUUGGAACAGAAAAAUAACUGCUGUAUUUACUGUAAAAAAGCCUUUUGCUUCAUUAGAAGA